UAGAGUUUUGCUCCUGGCUCAGGACGAACGCGGGCGGCGUGCUUAACACAUGCAAGUCGAACGAUGAAGCCUUUCGGGGUGGAUUAGUGGCGAACGGGUGAGUAACACGUGGGCAAUCUGCCCUUCACUCUGGGACAAGCCCUGGAAACGGGGUCUAAUACCGGAUAACACUCUGUCCCGCAUGGGACGGGGUUAAAAGCUCCGGCGGUGAAGGAUGAGCCCGCGGCCUAUCAGCUUGUUGGUGGGGUAAUGGCCUACCAAGGCGACGACGGGUAGCCGGCCUGAGAGGGCGACCGGCCACACUGGGACUGAGACACGGCCCAGACUCCUACGGGAGGCAGCAGUGGGGAAUAUUGCACAAUGGGCGAAAGCCUGAUGCAGCGACGCCGCGUGAGGGAUGACGGCCUUCGGGUUGUAAACCUCUUCAGCAGGAAGAAGCAAAGGAC
rnacentral:rRNA from 1 species